AUUGAACGCUGGCGGCAUGCUUUACACAUGCAAGUCGAACGGUAACAGGGUGCUUGCACUGCUGACGAGUGGCGAACGGGUGAGUAAUGCGUCGGAACGUGCCGAGUAGUGGGGGAUAACGCAGCGAAAGUUGUGCUAAUACCGCAUACGUACUGAGGUAGAAAGUGGGGGACCUUCGGGCCUCACGCUAUUCGAGCGGCCGACGUCUGAUUAGCUAGUAGGUGAGGUAAAGGCUCACCUAGGCGACGAUCAGUAGCGGGUCUGAGAGGAUGAUCCGCCACACUGGGACUGAGACACGGACCAGACUCCUACGGGAGGCAGCAGUGGGGAAUUUUGGACAAUGGGCGAAAGCCUGAUCCAGCCAUGCCGCGUGUCUGAAGAAGGCCUUCGGGUUGUAAAGGACUUUUGUCAGGGAGGAAAUCCCUAGCGUUAAUACCGCUGGGGGACGACAGUACCCGAAGAAUAAGCACCGGCUAACUACGUGCCAGCCGCCGCCGUAA
rnacentral:rRNA from 1 species